rnacentral:rRNA from 1 species
ACGCAUCUAUGUACAACUUUCAGCAACGGAUCUCUUGGCUCUCGCAUCGAUGAAGAACGCAGCGAAAUGCGAUAAGUAAUGUGAAUUGCAGAAUUCAGUGAAUCAUCGAAUCUUUGAACGCACCUUGCGCUCCUUGGUAUUCCGAGGAGCAUGCCU